rnacentral:rRNA from 1 species
UACGUAGGGUGCAAGCGUUGUCCGGAAUUAUUGGGCGUAAAGAGCUCGUAGGCGGUUUGUCGCGUCGGCUGUGAAAACUGGAGGCUUAACCUUCAGCGUGCAGUCGAUACGGGCAGACUUGAGUUCGGUAGGGGAUGCGGAAUUCCGGGUGGUAGUGGUGGGAAUGCGUAGAGAUCCGGAGGAACACCAGCGGCGAAGGCGGCAUCCUGGACUGGUCCGUGACACUCAGGAGCGAAA